UACGGAGGGGGCAAGCGUUAUUCGGAAUCAUUGGGCGUAAAGGGCGCGUAGGCGGCUUGGCAAGUCAAAGGUGAAAUCCCUCGGCCUAACCGAGGAACUGCCUUUGAUACUGCUUCGCUUGAGGCCGGGAGAGGGUAGCGGAAUUCCCAGUGUAGCGGUGAAAUGCGUAGAUAUUGGGAGGAACACCAGUGGCGAAGGCGGCUACCUGGACCGGUUCUGACGCUGAUGCGCGAAAGCGUGGGGAGCAAACAGG
rnacentral:rRNA from 1 species